UACGAAGGGGGCUAGCGUUGCUCGGAAUCACUGGGCGUAAAGGGUGCGUAGGCGGGUCUUAAGUCAGGGGUGAAAUCCUGGAGCUCAACUCCAGAACUGCCUUUGAUACUGGCAACCUAGAGACUGGAAGAGGUUAGUGGAAUUCCCAGUGUAGAGGUGAAAUUCGUAGAUAUUGGGAAGAACACCAGUGGCGAAGGCGGCUAACUGGUCCAGCACUGACGCUGAGGUGCGAAAGCGUGGGGAGCAAACAGGAUU
rnacentral:rRNA from 1 species